GGCAGAGUAGAUUAUUACGCGUUAAGUGUCAGAUGGACGGGAAGUUGCCACUGAACGAAAAAUCAAAAGAUUUGCGGUGUAAUUUUCGCAUUCCGCUGCC
rnacentral:ncRNA from 1 species